rnacentral:rRNA from 1 species
UACGUAGGGUGCAAGCGUUGUCCGGAAUUAUUGGGCGUAAAGAGCUCGUAGGCGGUUUGUCGCGUCUGCUGUGAAAACCCGAGGCUCAACCUCGGGCCUGCAGUGGGUACGGGCAGGCUAGAGUUCGGUAGGGGAGACUGGAAUUCCUGGUGUAGCGGUGAAAUGUGCAGAUAUCAGGAGGAACACCGGUGGCGAAGGCGGGUCCCUGGGCCGAUACUGACGCUGAGGAGCGAAAGCGUGGGGAGCGAACAGG